rnacentral:tRNA from 1 species
GACGGUUUGGCCGAGUGGUCUAAGGCGCCAGAUUUAGCUCUGUUCGAAAGGAGGGUUCAAAUCCACAGCCGUCA